rnacentral:rRNA from 1 species
GAUGAACGCUGGCGGCGUGCCUAAUACAUGCAAGUCGAGCGAACGGACGAGAAGCUUGCUUCUCUGAUGUUAGCGGCGGACGGGUGAGUAACACGUGGAUAACCUACCUAUAAGACUGGGAUAACUUCGGGAAACCGGAGCUAAUACCGGAUGAUAUUUUGAACCGCAUGGUUCAAAAGUGAAAGACGGUCUUGCUGUCACUUAUAGAUGGAUCCGCGCUGCAUUAGCUAGUUGGUAAGGUAACGGCUUACCAAGGCAACGAUGCAUAGCCGACCUGAGAGGGUGAUCGGCCACACUGGAACUGAGACACGGUCCAGGCUCCGAGGGGAGGCAGGAGUGGGGAAGCUUCCGCAAUGGGCGAAAGCCUGACGGAGCAACGCCGCGUGAGUGAUGAAGGUCUUCGGAUCGUAAAACUCUGUUAUUAGGGAAGAACAUAUGUGUAAGUAACUGUGCACAUCUUGACGGUACCUAAUCAGAAAGCCACGGCGAACUACGU